AUGUGUGUGUCUGUGUCUGUGUGUGUGCGCGUGCAUGUGCAUGCGCACACACACACAUACACAUACUCACAUGGUCACUUUCUUCCCCUAUAAGACUUGGUUAUAAGAGGAAGAAGGAAAUUGCCACAGGCCUAGGCAUUCUGCUUGCCUGGAAUAAGGCUCCCUGGCCAAGACAAUGCCUUCUCUCUCUAGCACUUCUCCAGGACCGUGUGUCUCUGGCAUUCCAUGCAGCCAGAGACUGCAUGCUUUGCCCUGCCCUUUUAUCCUUUUGUUUGGUUUGAGGCAGUCUUUCUCUGUGUGACCUAUGUUGGCCUUAAAAUUGGGAUCUUCUGGCCUUACCCUCUUAACUGUCAGGAACAUAGGUACACACCACCACUUUUGGCCUGUCCCCUGAUUUUUAAACUGUGUUUUUUUAGGAUGGAGCUAAUGAUUAGAAAUAAACAUUCCCCCUCUAUUAGCAUUUCUGCAAGUGUUUUUCUAAAAAAAAAAAAAAAAAAAAAAUGUCCUUGAAGAAGAAAAUAACUUCACAGAGGGAAAACCAUCAAGGAAACAAUUAACACUGUCAUACAAUAGUUUAAUUAGGCAUACACACUUUAAAAUUUGCUGUUAGAAAUAAUUAUUCUGCCUGUGUGUUUUGUAGUAAAUGACCUACAGAAAAACUGGCAGUAUAUUGAUAUUUCUGCCUUCCAGUGCUCUGCGGCUCAUGAGGAAGGCCUGGUAUUUGGAUAUUGAGAGAGACUAAUGUUCCUCUCUCUCUCUCCACAAGCUGAAGAGUUGAACCCAAGGUUCACACAUGCUCUUGGCUAAAUCUUACAAUAAAAACUGCCUCAACAUGAUCUCUCUAAUUUUAAUGUAAGUCUAAGAAAAGUAGAAAAACAUGGUAAGAUGCUGAAUCUGAGUCCUCACUCUGCUAUGGAUUUUCUCUGUGCUCUUAGGCGAGCUAACUCUUCUUUCUGAACUUCAGUUUUGAAUACUUUGGCGUCUUACAGGAAAAUAGGAAAAUGGGGAGUAGAGAGAAGGAUAAGGAGCCUGGGGAUAACAAUGCCUUUUGUAUAACUAGAAGCUUCCAUUCCCCGACCCCCUCAUAAUUCUCUUAAAAUUGACUAAAAUUGGUUAAAAUUGACUCUGUGAAGUCCUUGUGUGAGGGGACUUUCAGGUUCUGUGUGGAAACUGAGAAUUAUGUUGCUUUUCCAUAUCAAUUUGCCUGUCUAGUACUUAACAGAAACAGUCCCCAUUGAAGCAGGGGCUUGGAGCCAAAGGCGACCAUAGGGAUUUCUGAAAAAUUGCACAAAUCUUAGAGAGGGCUUUUGUUUUCCAGGUAGCAUAAAACAAAAGGUUGGGAAAAAUCUCACAUAGGUUCCAGGAGUGUGGGAAACUCAACAGAUACCUGGGCAAAAUAACUUUCCAGACUGCUUGAGUUUACUGUCAAAUAUACAAAGAUUUUGCAACAGAACUCACUUGUUUGUUCCAGACUCACAGAUGACACUAAGGCGGUGCGAUUGAUGACUCUGAAGACUCUGGAGAGCAAAUCAGUAAGAGAAAUGGUCCGGAAGGGUCUCUGAGAUGCCGGCUAAGCUGUGGCCGUCUCACGUCUGCCAAGCCAUUUAUACAUGGCUUACCAAUGUCGACACAAUGCUGAAAUGGAAAAGAUUUCAAGCCAAAACAAGGAAAGGUGGCUGACCCAGGGUCUCCAGAAGGCCUGAAUCCUGGCUGUGGCGCGCUAUAGAGCUCUGUGACUGGAGCAAGUCACCCAGCGUCUGUGUCUGUCUCCUCAUCACUGAAACGGGGAGUAUCAACAGGUCUGCCUAGUGUCAUGUUUUCAUCUAUGAAGCACCAAAAAAAAAAAAAAAAUUCUGCUGCUGUUAUAAAACUAGCUGUGGUGAGUGGGGGGAGGGCCGGUGAAAGGGCUCAGUGGGUAAAGGCAGUUGCCGUGAAAACCUGGUGACCUGAGUUCAAGGAAGCCUCAGGACACACAUAAUAGGGGAGGAGAGAAACUCCACAAAGUUAUCUUCUGACCUCCACGUGGGUGCCAGGACGUGUGCGUGACUGUGUGCACACACAUACACACAUCACAAAAGAGCACACACUAUAAUAAUAAAAAAAUAAAAAAAUAAAUCAACUGAAGAUGCUUUAAAAAAUGAAUAAAAAAAAUUUAGCUAGGUAGAAAGCAUAUUCUUUAACGUGUAGGUUUGUUGAAUCCCCAAGGGGAAAGUUACGAAAUACUUUCUAGAUACUUCUAAGGAGAACAUUAGGUUAGGAUUGACCAACCAAGGUUCACAGGGCUCUGCUACUUCCAGUCCGUGAGUUCCCAGUGAGUCAUUUAACACCUGCGUGCCUCAGGCUGCUCACCGUGAGGUGGGCUACCGAAGUUUUCCCUUAGCUCACACGGUUUUCAGCAGACAGUAACUGCAAGUCAUCCUUCCUGGUGUCCUGUGUGGUACAUUUUGUCAACGGGAUGUAAUAGGAUUGUAGACUGCCAUGAAACCCCUCAAAAUAACACCAUGCCCAUUUAAAGCAGCCAGAUCUUUGCCUAGGUGGGAUCUGGCCGGGGUUAGUUCAUUUAGGCACAUGCGGCUUAACAGCACCUGUGAUUUAGUCAUGGGCAGGAAACUACAGAAAUGGUCCUUCCAACCCACUCUUUCACAGAUUAGCCACCCCUCCCCAGUUCCCAUCUUGUUCACACACACACACACACACACACACACACACACACACACACACACACGCAUUGAGAGCAGCGGUGGAGGGGUACAUUCUGAGAGUCUGGUUAAGGUUCUGUGGAGAACAAAGGACAGCAGAAUGAAUGGCUUUCACUCACCUGUGUA